GGGGCAGGCGGAACCUUAGUCCUCAUCCCUGAGUUUCCCGCGACUCUGCGCUCACCGCUACACCACCACACGGACGACCUCCUUCCCCCCCCCAUCCCCCCCGGGGACCCAUCCCGGUGGCGGGCUCCGGAGCUCGAGACUGCUAAUUUCAGCGAAACGAUUAACAGACGCCCCAACGGCUGACGGCACCGCCUCUCCUCCGGCAGGGAGGGGCGUGCGGCGUAUGGUCACCCACGCUUCCCCGCCAGCGCAGAGCACGCCCCACCUAGGCGCGCGCAGCCGGCACGCACGCCGCCCCGCCCCCCCGGCCCGUCGCCACCCGCGCGUUACGCUCGCUCGCAUCCCCCGCCCUCGACCCCCGUGCCGUUGGAGGGGCCCGAGGCCAGCCAGAGAGCGCUGUUGGCCGGAGGGAAGCCAGAGGAGACCGGGUCGGCUGGGCGGAGCGGCAGAGGGUCGGGGAGACUGCCUAAACGCCCGGGAGUAGAAGCGGACGGGGGCAGGGUUACGUGAGGGAGCGCGCCGCCACUGAGCUUGGGUCCGACUGGAGCUCGGGGUCGGGACCCAGACUCGGGGGCCAGGUCCCCAAGCCGGCCUUACACCCGAGUCGAGGAGAGACCGGACACAGAGGGACCGAGCGAGCAGGGAGACAUGGCUUCAUCAUUCCUGCCCGCGGGGGCCACUACCGGCGACAGCGGUGGAGAGCUGAGCUCAGGGGACGACUCCGGGGAGGUGGAGUUCCCCCAUAGCCCUGAGAUCGAGGAGUCCAGUUGCCUGGCCGAGCUGUUUGAGAAGGCUGCAGCGCACCUGCAAGGCCUGAUUCAGGUGGCCAGCAGGGAGCAGCUCUUGUACCUGUAUGCCAGGUACAAACAGGUCAAAGUUGGAAAUUGCAAUACUCCUAAACCAAGCUUCUUUGAUUUUGAAGGAAAGCAAAAAUGGGAAGCAUGGAAAGCACUUGGUGAUUCAAGCCCCAGCCAAGCAAUGCAGGAAUAUAUUGCAGUAGUUAGAAAGCUAGAUCCAGGUUGGAAUCCUCAGGUACCAGAGAAGAAAGGAAAAGAAAGAAAUACUGGUUUUGGUGGGCCAGUUAUUAGCUCUCUAUAUCAUGAAGAAACCAUCAGGGAAGAAGACAAAAAUAUAUUUGAUUACUGCAGGGAAAACAACAUUGACCAUAUAACCAAAGCCAUCAAAUCGAAAAAUGUGGAUGUGAAUGUGAAAGAUGAAGAGGGCAGGGCUCUGCUUCAUUGGGCCUGUGAUCGAGGACAUAAGGAUCUUGUCACAGUCUUGCUACAACAUAGAGCUGACAUUAACUGUCAGGAUAAUGAAGGCCAAACAGCUCUACAUUAUGCCUCUGCGUGUGAGUUUCUGGACAUUGUAGAGCUGCUGCUCCAGUCUGGUGCUGACCCCACUCUCCGAGACCAGGAUGGCUGCCUACCAGAGGAGGUGACAGGCUGUAAAACAGUUUCCUUGGUGCUACAGCGGCACACAACUGGCAAGGCUUAAUCAAAAGACUGGAAAACUGCAGUCUGUAAUAGCAUAAGGCUUCCAUUAUGAAAGAAAACUACAAAAAUAAUACUUCUUUUAUCGUCCAUCUUUGUUGCUUCACCAGAGAGAUGUUGGAUUAAAGUAUAGUGAUUAUCAGACUCAGGAAAAAGUAUGCUUCCUUCUGAUGAUCGUCAGCUAGUGUUUAUUAUGUACCAAGUGUGGUCACUUUUUCAAAUAUGCAUUAAUUGGCAUUACACUAGAAGACUGAACAGGGGUGGGAAAGUGACCAUUUGAACCUAAUGCUACUGGAUGCAGUGGCUGAACAUGUGGGACCAUGAGGGCAUUAAGAAGUCAAGAGGUGAUUUCCAAUGGACUGUGCUAGGCAGCAGCCACAAAUUCAUCAUCGGCACUACAGGUAGGAUUUAUUUUUCCUUUCACUUGUGUAGCAAUCCCGGUUUCCAUUUUAAUAUUUAGAAGGUAAGUUCAAUUGAUGGACACUUUGUGUAAUAAAAGACUCUUUUAAAGUACAUGCUCAUGCACACACGCAAGAUAGAAAGUGGCACUCCAGUGCCCAUGGUUUUCAUGGAGUACAUUUGUGGAGCCCAAAGCUUAGUCCUGGAUAUGUUUAUAGCACUUUAACUCCGUUCGUGAGUUUGGAACCCUUCCAGAAAAAAAAAGACAUAUAUUAUUGUUUAUAAUCUGCUUUAUUCCGCCAAACCUUGACUGAACAGACUUGUGGAUUGCUCUUUAAAUCCCUCAGUGCCUUUAACUACUGAUACAGAAAGUGGUUAAUGCGCAUUCUAAAUGAAGCUUGGCAGCCACUCCAGGAAAUCACUUUAAUUGAGGAGCAUUAAAUGUUAAAAUGAUUUUUUGUUUAAAGCCAGCACACACAUACUGAGUAUAGAAGUUCUGGCCCACCAGUAAUAAUAGUUUCUUGGUUAUCAUAUCCCUCCAGCUUUGCAGUUGACAGGUGUCGAAAAAGUGACUUUCAGUUCACUGGGUCACUAUCUGCAGACAGCUGGCCAGUGAGGAGGCAACCUUCAAGGAUUCCACUUCAGAGGAGGGCAAGGGGCUGUCAACUUUAUGGAUGUUUGUUUUUCUGAAAUAAUAAACUAGUCCCAGGUGACUAAAAUAUGAGAUUUAACCCCAAAGUCCUCGCCUGGGCUCUCCAUUGCUAUGCAGAAGCCAUCUGUUGAAAUCUAUUUACCAUUUUAAAGAUCUCUUUUUUAUUUCCAACUCCAAGUGUGUGCCAAGACCACUUUUCGGGGCCUAUAUUUUAUCUUUCAGAAAGCAGUUUCCAGCCUUUCCCAAAUCCCCAACCCCUGCCAACCAACAGGAGAUCCUGGUCUAGGACUGGCAAGCAAGAGAAAGAUAAAUUACUCAAUUUUUUUUUUAAAGGCCUCUCCUACAACUCUAGAGGCACUUCGGCCUCUCUGAACCAUCUGAGUAGAAUCCUGGGCCCAAGGAGAAAGGAUAGGAAAGCAGUGGAAUGCUGACUGUGGAGCCUCCAUGUGUUCUCCUGACUAAACUUAGGGUCUGCACACUGAUAAAGCCUCCUGCUGAGAAAAAAACCUAAAUGGAGAUUUUCCUAGAAAAUGUUUGUCCAGGAGCCCUGAUGACUCUGAUGAGGUGUUUCUGUUCCUCUGUGGUGACUUCAACAGCCCAGAUGAGAUUAAGUGGCUUUCCACAUCCCGCCGAGAAGCCUAGAAGGUGAGCAUUAGACCCAUGAGCUCUCCCCAGGGCCCCACAGCUUGGUGUUCCAAGAGGAGGCUGACCUCUAGGCCUCAGCUGACCUCUGGGGUGAACUACUGUCCUCCCAGGGUAUCGUGGUCCUGGCAAGCAACUUGUUCCAUCCUCUGUCCCACAAACUUCUUUUUCUAUUUCCACCUGGGCCUAUGCACCAACCCUUAAAUAAGGCCUCCCCAGUCUAGGCUUCAACACCGUAUCCCUUCUGAGGCCUGCCCCUGUUCCCCUCAUGAAAAAGGAAUGCUGGGGGAAGCUCAUGCUCUUUAAAGGGAAAAGGAAGGUAAAGGCUCCGCUGUCAAAGGGCCAUGAGUCAGCCUUUUGCCCAUACCUGUCAUAUGACCAGGCCUCUGCAGGAGCCACAGGCUCCCUGUAGGAACAAUCAGGCCUUCCAGGUAUACAGACGUGCCACGCUUUCCCCAAGCACAUCCACACUCAGUUGUGUUCAUCGAUCCCUGCUACGCAGUGAGAUGGGCAAAGAUGUGGUAUUCCCCAUGGGAAUGGGGCUCAAGAGAAGUGAUAGAUUUGACAGAGCCGCACUGGAAAGCAGGUCUCUGAUUGCCAGUUCGGUACUCUUCCCUUCUCCCCACCCAACCCCAGCAGAAGACCUUCCACAUCUGAGAACUCAGUAACUGAGAACACUUAUUCUUUGCAAACAACCUGAGGAUUCACAACAUGCAGUAAUUUGUAAUUUUGCUGAUGCACGAAUUUGAAUAUAGCGCAUGCUGCAAAGCUUGUGUGGAGGGACCGGAUGAAGUGAGUGGUGGGGGAACGGGUUUCCGAAGUGAAGCCAGUUCCCCAUCUCACAUGCACUCACAACUCUGAUUUCCCAGGAAAAAGGGCCUGUGGAGCGUGUCCUCCCCACUACUCGGACUGGAGGAACGGCUGGCUCUAGGGGACUUUGGGAGUAGGCCAGUGUCCCAGCAAAGGGGAAGAGGCAGGAGAGGGGCUAGGGGCACAAGGCUGGAACCAGGUCAUCUGUUCACAGCUGUGUGGGCUGAUUAGUGGGAGGUCGUGGGGCCACAGAACAGGGCCUGGCCCAGUCCCAGCUUCCAGUCCAGACCUCAGCAAUCUUGUUUCCUACUCCUGUCACGUGGUAAAGGGCCACUACCAUUUCCCCCCCACCUUCACUUCAAUUCUUGAGGAAAAGCCUGUGUUCAGGAGGGAGUUGCCAAGGCCUCAAGAAAGAUCCCUCCUGAGUGCCAGGGAUUACGGAUUCCCAGGGGACGUUCCUAAGGCCUCGGCCUGGCCCCUCCAGCCCUGCUCACCUCGGAAGCUCAGCUCACUGUCACUAACCCCACAGUCCUCUGCAGAGCUCUCCUUCUCCUGCUUGCUGCCGCCCCGGCUCCUCUUGACGCUCUUAUAGAACUGCCCCCAGCGGUGCCGCCCCGCGUCCUUCUUCAGGCGUUUCUCUUUGGCCCUUCUGUUCUGAAACCAAACCUGCCACACAAGCACAAGGGACAUGCUCGGGGUCCACCAUGAAUCCAAAGCCCCCAGGACCCCCAAGGUGGGCGGCUGGAAGCGGACUGAAGCCAGAAUGGAGCACCGGUCUGGUAGUACAAUGCAUCCCGACCCCUUCUCCCUGGCCUCAGAACUCUGCCUUCAGUUCUGGCAAAAGUCCUGGGGUUGUGGCCCUGAGCCCAACCACCAGUGAGGUGAUGUCACUCAUGCUCCCUGCUUAGGACACCUUCCACCCCUGUCCCAGGCCUGGGAUCCCCCGAGGGCACGGGAGUGCUGGCAUCUCACCUGUACGACCCUCAUGUCCAGGCCUGUCUCUGAGGACAGCUGCUCUCUCACGUGCCGGGCAGGCUUGGGGGAGUUCUUGUAUGCAUUCUUUAAUGUCUCCAGCUGCUUGGCUGUGAUGGUGGUCCGCGGCCGCUUAGCUCCAGCCUCUGAGUCAUCUGCAUGGAAAAACCACUGCUUACUAGGUUCGGCCUAUCUGCAGCAGCUAUGCCUCCUUCCCCACCCUCCUUCCUUCCUUUCUGCACCUGAGCCUGCCUGCUGUAGGCAGGGCAGUGGGAGGCACAGGGGACAGAGUGGAGAGGUUCCCCACUCCCACGGCAGCAACUCCUGUACCACAGGCCUUCCCAAGCCACUGAAAAGAGAAGACCACAGUCCUCUCUCUGCUCAGCUCCCUGCCUCUCCCCUCCCAUGCCAGCCCAGCUGCACAGAAGUCCCAUCAGAUUGAAUGAAUGUACCCACUUCCACACAUGUCCCUGUCAUGACAAACACUCUGCUCGCACAUCCUUGUGAGAUAUUGCCAGAGCUGUGAAGGGGAACAGCCAGGGUGAAAUCUGCAUUCAAAGCCACCCUGGAAGCCCUCCCCUCUGUCUCAUCAGGAGUCUCCCAUUUCCCCACAGCCGCGUGCCUUUGCUCUGGCGUCACUGGGCGCACAGCCAGGGAUGAGUUCGCACACCUAGUAGUGUCCAAGCAGGUUUCUAAACUAUGGGUGAGAACCCACUCGUGGGCUGUAAAGUCAACUUAGUGGAUCAAAACUAGAAGAGGAACUCAGAUGAAGAGAAGAAAAUAAUAGAAUAGCAGGACCGCUUCAUGAACCUUGUUUACUUUUUAGGGUAUGAAUGUGUAUACUAAGAUGGAAUGUACAGUGGGUGUUUUUACUGUGAAUCGUCAACAUUUUUUGGAAAACACUGAUCUAAAGAACGUGCAGGGCAACACACUGAUCAACACAAAGUGCUCAACAGAAUUUGAGCAAAAAGCUCAAGUUCCUGUUAAAGUCUGGUUGGUUCCAUUUCGCGUCAGGCAGAGAGAGGUGUGGGUGUGUCCGGUGGCACAGGUGUGUCCGGUGGCACAGGUAAGUGGGAAGGUUUGUUUCUUCUCCCCGCACCCAGCUCUCUGCACGGUGCCCCUGGAGCACACAAAGAAUAGAGCCGGCAGCUGGCUUGGGCCGCUCUGCUCUCUGCCUGCUCACCUGUGUGUCCCUUAGUGUCUCUGUGACAUUCCUGACUUCCUCCCUGCCUCUGCUCUGUUCUUUCCAUUCAAGAAAUCCCUCUCUGAGGAACAGUAACAGCCAACGUGUUAGCACCUACCAUGCACUGGUGUUGACUAAGGACUUUCUAUGCAUUCGGUCCUCACCAUCGACAGGGCUCUCCCUGGCGUCAGCAGACCUGGCUUCAAUGUUCUUGCUGAGUGAGUGACUUGGGCCAGUAACACACCUCCCCUUGGAAGCCCAGGGUACAACACGGCCUGCCCUGGUCUUGGCAGGCACUAAAGGAGUGAAGCAGCUGUGUGCCCAGGACAUGCGCGCACACGGUGAGGGGACGCGCCCCGUGCCUUCCCUUCUCGGGCUGUUUUCUCGCGUGGUCACUCCUCCUGGAACUGCUGUGGCCCAACUCCCUCCCUGAAGCCCUGGACCUGAAGGGAAGGGAUUCUGGAGCUCCUGCCACAGAGACCACACUACUCAGAGAGUCAGUCCAAAAGACAAAGGGUAACCUCCAAAACUCCUUCCUUUUCAUUCUGAGAAGUCAGUCCCUUCUGUGCAUGUUGGUAGAGUCUAGACAGGAGCGUCUGAUGCAGCUUUGAAUUAUGCAAAUGGGAAAUCGUGCCCUAUGUAGUCCUCAUAUAGAAUAUGUGAAAUAAUGCAA